UCAAAAAUCGACAAGGAACUAGGUGAUAUGUAUCGAGCAUUACUCAUGAUCAAUCAUCGGAUUGAUACAUUGGAAGAAAUGUUGUCUUGUGAUUCAACCAUACAACUAACAGGUGCACGUGAUGUAAGAUGGAGAAUGAUUUUGAAGCUUGACACUCCAGUUGUUAAAGAAUUUCGUUCAAGAAUUAUCGCAGCAGGAAUGACGGUCGAACAGUUUGCAGAAGCUGUUCAAAAGAUAUAUGAGUCAGGAAACAACCGUCCAGGGCUUAGUGAUGUUUCAUUUCCAGAACCAUUCAGAGACGAGAUUCUAAAGGAACUUUUAACUAAAAUGAAAAUUCCCAGAGUUGAGUAUUAUAAACGCACGAUUCAAAUAUUGUUAUCUCCUUUGACAUUGCCCCCUACAACUCGACGAUAUUAAAGGAGAUACCAGUAUUUGAAUUGUACGUUUAUAAUAUAGGUAUGUACAUCUCCUCGUUAAUGAAACUGAACAUAGAUGUAGCUAAAUAUAAAUCUACCCACGAAAAAUUGUUUUUAAUCACAUCUCUUAUGACGUUUUUAGUUUUUACUACCACUAUAAUCCGGACACUCUUUCUGUGUCUUUUCUCUUAUCAUACCUAGAUAACGUUUUCUUAGGGCAGUAUAUAUUUCUGUGUCCUGUCAACGUUUUUUUUUUCUGUAGGUAUUACGGUUUUUUUAACUACCCACUAAAUUUUAUACCUCAGUCAUCUGUAUUUCAAAAUACAAGAAAAUGAUAGGACGUUCAUCUGUUUUACUCACAAUAUUGAUUGCAUAUUUAGCAUAUUCUUAUGGAGUGAUGAUCCCUUAUAAAAAUAAUACUUUUGUCUAUUACUCCUGGAAAGAAAACAUCUCCAUAACUUGUACUGACGAUGUAGAUGAAGUCACAUGGACGCAUUUCUUCGCAAUGGGUGCUAAUUACUCUAUAAAAGUAGAGACACCGCACAGAAAAGUCUUUAAAAUAAAAAACGCUUCGUUCUAUAAUACCGGGAUGUAUGACUGUGUUUCAACAAAGAACAGAAAUGAGUUCAUGAGGAUUUAUCUUAAUUGCGAUGAAUCGUGUAAGAAAGAUCCUACAGUCAUCUGGUAUCGCUAUAUUUCAGAUGUGGAAGACCACUACAAAGCUCCAGCCGUGGGAGAAACACAUGCCGAAAUUACAAACUGACCAUCAGGCGUCAAUUAUUGAUGAAUGAAAACAAUGAUCUUGAAUGAUUAACACAUCUAACUAAUCAAAAACUAUGACAUUAUGCACUACGUCAAAUUUUAAUUUUACUUUAAUUGAAACGGACAAUAAAAUCAUAAAAUGAUUACCUAUUUUAUCUGAUAUACCUAUACAAUUAUUUUCAACUGCAAUAGGUGUAAUUCACUCUUGAACCGUCCCUUCUAUAAAUUUAAAAAUUGACACAAUUCCAAAUCAAUUAAAUAAUCAACAUUUAACAGAACAGUAGAAAUGUUGACGUUGCAAAAAAGAGUUGCCUUGGAGUAAAUUCGUCAAGAUUUUUUGUCUAGACUACUGUGAAAUCAUCAAAAAUCCUAAUAUUAUUGUUAGAGAAGUCCUGUUUGUUUUUCAAAACCAUCUGAUGAAAGUUCUGAUUUUUGUCCAAAAAAAAAAAAAAUGGAUUUCCUCAUAAUUUCUUAAUAAAAAGUCCAACUUUUUGAACAAAAAUUCAUGUUAAAAUUGCCAAAAAAAAAUUUAUCCACCAAACGCCUAAAAAUGUCUGCUGUUUUUUAUCAAAAAAAAAAACCUUUAGCCAAAAUUGCUAGAAAUGUCCCAUUUUUUUCAAUUGUCUAAAAGAGCUCCAUUUUUUGUCGAAAUUGUCGAAAAACCCCAAAAUAGGAAAAAUGGAUCUCAAAAGUCAAAAGUCCUCAUUUUUAAAAUUAUUUUUUUUUAAAUUGCCUAAAACAUCUCAUUUAUGCUAAAAUUAUCAAAAAGUCUCACUUUUUGUCGAAAAUUUCAAAUUGUAUAAUUUUUGUCAAAUAAACCACGAAUAAAAGUUUAAAGUAUUUUUUUCCAACAUUUUCCAAUUCUGCUUUUCAUUCUUUUCAUGUAUGAUCCAAAAAUAAUUUAAUGCGAGUUUUUCAAGAGGUUUAGUUGUUUAACAUACUACACGUUGAUGAAACUGCAGAACCCACAUGUAGCUAAAUAUAGAUCCACCUACGAGUAAUUUGUGUUUAAUCACAUCCCCAUGUGUUUUACACGUACUUCUAUAUAAUCUCGACACUCUUUUUGUAUCCUUUCUCACAUAGGUACUUAAAUAACGUUUUCCAUAGGAGUACUGCUGUGUCCUAUCAACAUUUUUUUCUGUCAUCUGUAUUUCAAAAUCAAAAUACAAGAAAAUGAUAGGACAUUCAUCUAUUCUACUCAUAAUAUUGAUUGCAUAUUCAGCAUAUUCUUUUGGAGUGCUGAUCCCAUAUAAAAAUGAUAGUUAUGUGUAUUUCUCCAUGAAUGAAACCAUCUCUAUUACUUGUACUGGUACAGAUGAAGUCACAUGGUUCGCUGCCUAUUCAGCUGGUGGUAAUUACACAGUAAAAGCAGAGACCCCGUACAGAAAAGUCCUUCAAAUAAGAAACGCUACUGAGGAUCAUACUGGGAUGUAUGUAUGUGCUUCAACAAAGAACAGAAAGGAGUCGAUGAGGAUUUCUGUUCAUUGCGAUGAUUCUUGUUUCAUAGAUCCUGAAACAGGCAAACGCAUGUAUACCUGGACUGAUGGAAUUAUGACUAUUCGAAGUUCAAACAAACAACACAUUGAUGAUUUAUGGCGAGGACACGGACAACAUUGAAUUAUUAACAGCUUUAACUAAAAAAAAAAACUAUGACAUUAUUACACUUAAUGUACCUGUUACCCAGGUCUAAUGAUAAGAUAUCAAUUUACUCGACUAUUAGAAUAUACCCAUCUAAGUAAACAAUCUGCAUGUAACAUCAACAUCAUGUUUUGUACUAAUCUAGUUAUCUCUCCAAUUCUACGAAUUUGAUCAAUAACUUUGUUACUUACAUAAAACUUCAAUUUUAAUUUAUUUGAAACGGACAAUAAAAUUAUUAUUUUAUUUACUUUAA